CUUUUACUUCUCAUUAUUCUGCUCUGAUUUUGUUCAUAGAAACUUCAUAUCUCUAAGUUGAGCCUGUUUUGCCUCUGAUGGCAUUUGGUGAGUGGUCUCUCCCAGUUAUCUCAACCCAUGCACCCUCCAUUAAAUUUUAUCUCCCCUGCCCAGCUGCAGAGGGGAGUGACUGAGCAGCUUUGCUGGGGGCCUGGCAUCUGCCCAGGUUAAUCCACUACACUUCAGUGACCCCACAAUUCUUCAUUGUUUUGUCAUAAGUUUAUUAAAAGUGGGGGCAAAAAACAUCAGAGAUCAGCAUCACUGAAGAAAAGUAAUUAUGACUCAAAAUAAGCAAAGCUGAUGAUUCUUUAUAUCUUUCUGUGUUGUCAUUGCAACAGGUAUAUAAAUAAUCUCUCAGGUACAACUGUAUCAGGCAAAUCCUAACUACUCUAACAGCUCUGUGGGACACACAGAGUGAUUAGUCCUGCCUGACAGUUAUGCUCUCAGGGUUCUCUUCUUGUUUCUAAGACAAAAUUAUUGUGAUUUUUGCCUAGACAUAACAAACUCAAGAAAUGGCCUUACUGAAGCUUAGAUCUGCCCCCUCCCAACAGAAAUGCAGAAGGCUGUUCUUGGUCUGCUGAAUCUCUGUCCAUAGCAUGGGAGAUAAAAAGUACCUACACCUCUGUGGAACGCUGCCACCCUGUAAUAUCAAGGUGUGUCAUAGGCUGUAAGUGAGGACUUGAAAAUCUCCAUGGACAGAGAGAAAACUUUCUGGAUCCUGGUUAGACAGACACUUUUGCUUAUGAAGGUCUGUAUAUUAGUGAGUCACCCAGGCUCUACUUUCUCCACUUUGUUCCCUCCCUCCCACUGUGCAUCCUGAGGGAUGUGAAGCAAGACAUUUAUGCCAUGCUUCUGUAGAGAUGACAAAUAGUUUUCCAUGCUUUCCUUUUGGCAGAAACCAAAGGUCUUGGAAAUUCAAAACCUAUGGGCAGAGACCAAUUGGUGGUGCUUUUACCUAGACAAGACUUACAUAAGCAUUAGUAGAUUUGUACCAGUGUUAGGAAACACUCAGGGAUCCAAAUUCAUCUUUUAGUCUCACCAGUAUUUUAAGCAGCUCAAAACAGGCUAGCAAAGUAAGUAUAGCAUUGUGUUCAUGUUUUGGUCAGGAAGUUUUCAGGUAGUCCAGAAACUUUCUUUUUAUUUUGUUUUUCCAGCAAAGAAACAUCUCUUUUGAUCCUUAUUUCUAGUAAUGUCUAGUAUAGGUUCUCACAACUCCUUUUUCCUGUCUUAAUAUGAGUGCUGUGAGAAGCCUAUGAUUGCAUAGCAUGCAGCUAAUGUGUCUCAAAAACAAUGAUAUCCAAGGUGAGCAAUUCAAUUUCAUAUCAGAAUUCAACAAUCCUCAUCUUCAUUGACAAAGUCACUGCCAGAGUCAUCAUGAGCUUUCGGCUUGAGGGACUUCUCUAUCAUCCAGAAAAUUCCAUGCUCUAAGCAAGAUAAUGCUUCUGGGACAGGUUCUUGAGAUGAGCAGGGAAUCUUCAGUUGAGUAUCCCUGUAGAAGAGGGAGGAGUGGGCUGAACAUGAGCCUUACUGUGAAGUGUAUAGCAAGCACAUUCUUCUUUAUGAUCAGAGAUUGGAGUUAAAACCAAUAUCAUGGCAAAGGGGUUGGAAAUACAUCAUCUCUAGGGCUGCUUCCAACCCAAACCAUUCUGUGGUUAUAACACGUACAAAAAAACCGUCCAAAAAAAAAAACCAAAACAAAACCACCAACAACACAAUUAAAAAACAAACAAAAAAUCCAAGAAAAGGACACCAAACCUUCUUUUAUGUAUGUUCAUACCCUGCAGUAGGCAAGGAAACAGGCCAGGCAAGCAGGAAGCAGAUCUUGCGAUCAAGUUGCUGUCCCCAGGCUUUUCUUGUCCAUUUUUUAAUUAUUUCUGGACCUUGCUAUCUUGUUUGUAAAAUUACGGCUUGAAAUAUUGCUUUUGUCUUUUAUUCACAGGAAAUUAAAUUAUGUCAAUGAAUGCUUGUUAGGGACUGGGAUAACAUAAUGACGGGAAAAAUACUACUAGCCUUUGAAUCUACAGUCUACUCAGAUAAAAUCAAACUUAAUGUGUGAAUAUAAAAUAUUGUUUUCUAAAAUUACAAAUGUUGGACAAGUAAAAAAUUCAAGAUAUGUUUAAUUAAACCCCUUGGAGCACCUUGGCUGAAUGACACCAUAGAAUUGUUCAUUCUCAUAUUUCUGUACUAGAUUAAGGAGUAGCAGCUUUCCAAUUUUUCUCAUUCAGCUUGUCUUUCUCAAGAAGGUAUGUUCAAUGCUUUGAUACUGUUUCUUUCAUAAAUAAGACAAUUGUUUCUAAAAAUGGCACAAGUCCAGAGCAUAUGUUCCACUUGUGUUUGUCUGAAAGGUUACCACAAUGGUGUCCCACUGUGCUGACAAAUGUGACCAAGCCAUUGCUGCCAGUAUCAGUCCAUGACUUGGUUAAACCUCCAGUAAUAACUGCUGCUGAAAAAUGCAGAGCUGAAGAAACCACAUUCUAAAGCUACUUUUCACAAAACAAGUCAUUAGCUCGAGUUUUAGAUGUAAUAGUAUUUCAAGUCUGGGAAUAUGUUCAGCUCCUUAUAUUUUGUCUUGGAAAACCAUGUUGCAAGAAAUUACUUAGUCUAGCUGAGAUUUCACGAAGCAGUUCUAUUAUAUUUUAUGCCGUGGAAAAUCAUGUUGAAGGAAAAACAUAUUCAGCAGGAAAGAGGCUGUGCCCUUUCCUAAUGGUUGUUUCCCUCAGGAAAGAGGCUGUUGACUGAGGACUUGCCAUUCCACAGCUCUACAAGAACUUUGGGAUUGUGGUUCUAAUUGCUGUUAAUUAGUGGGAGACACUCCUCUCUGUGAAAGCAAGUCCUGCUGGCAGCAGGAAAAAUUCAGCUAAUUCCUUUUUUGCUCUUUACUUCUUCAAAGUUUUUGUAGUUAUGUGAAUGACUGCAAUUACUAUUUUGAAAUCAGUAAGCACCAAAGAUUUCAGGUUUCAUAUAGACCACUGUUAUUAAAAAAAAAAAAAUAAAAAAAAUAAAAUAAAAUAAAAAAGACUGUAAUAAGUAUAGUGGUGUGAAAUGAAACCUGUUGUGUUACUACUGGAAAAUCUGUUACGAUUAUCAAGCAACUAGAAUGUCUGGGGAUUAUUCUCAAUUAAUCUGACAUACAUAACAUUUGACAUACACAACAUUUGACAUACAUGGCAUUCAUUCCCUUUGCUGUAUAUGUAGCUAUUUCCACAGUAGCCAAUAAAAUUAAGCUGUCCAUACACCUGCAGGCUCUGCUCUCAUAUGCAGUUUAAUUUGCCAAUAAGAAUAAUGCAGUUUCCUGAGGAUGAAUGACUCAGGGCUUGCUGGGUUAAGGUGCGUAGGGACAAAAAUCACACCCUUCUGGUCAUUACUUGCUGGGAUCAGCAUGUUCUGAUUAUUACUGUGUAAUUAGUUAAUAAGGCCCCUUUCAAAGUGGAAGAGAACUGCUUUCUCUGAGCACAAUGUGCAUUGCAUCUAUCAUGGGUUUAUUCAUUAUGGGUGAAUCUGAUUCCCAUUUAAGAAGAUGUAUUCUGGGAAUGUAAUAUCUCUAUUGUAAUAUUUCUGUUGUUUCCAACACAUCAAAAAUAAAAUAUGGUGACAAUUAUCAAUUACUUUAAUCUGAAGCAAAUUUUUAAGAAGCAACUUACAUUGGGCCCAGUGUUUUGGCUUAAACAUAAAAAAGAAGAGGUGAAGGAGGGAAUUGAUAUUUCAGAGUAAGUGAUUUGCAUGUGGGGCUUGGAGAAGUUGACACAUAUUUGGAACAAUGUAUUUUCACUUUCUGUUGUCCAAAAAUUGAGAUCUAUUUCAUUUAGUGUCUACUAUUCAUUCCUAUUUACUAUUAAAUGUUUUUUUGAAAUAAUUGCUUUGAUGAGUAGGUAGUCCUAAAAAGCAAUUUUCUUGAGUUGUUUUAAUAGAAUGCAUAUGUUGAAUGGCAUUUAAGUCUAAGUUGCCAGGCCAAGGAGUUUGCAGCUCCAAGCACCUUAUCACUGCUUUUCUUGUCAGACCAUAGAGUAAAUAAAUGAAAAAUAGAGUAAAUUAAUAGAGUAAAUAAAUGAAUAAUAGAGUAAAUUAAUAGAGUAAAUGAACAGAAUACUCACAAAUAUUGUAUUUAUGAAUACAAUGAAAUCCCAUUGUGAUCAGAUUAAAUGAUUGUACAAUCUUAAAUGAAUAUUCACACACAGGCUAGUGGUGGUGGUUAUUUUUGGUUGUUUGUUUUGUUUUACUGGUGUUUCUUCUCCUCAGUAGUACUUGGCCCAGAUUAACUGAUCAACUUCCCAAAUUAGAAAAUAAAUCUUACUUAUUACUCUGAAAACAUUUGAUGAAUUUAUAUCCUCUCCAGCCAAAAUUGCCUCUAUCCAUAACUAGUAGCAGUCUUUUACAAGAUACUAAGACCAACAAUUUUGAGUAUGCUGAAAUGGAAAUGAUUACUUCCUUACUAAUAUUGCCUGACCAAUGGAGCUGUUACAGGUUUGUAUAAGCAAUGAACACAAUAUUUCUCUCCUAAUACUAUCAGAUCAACAGUAGUCUAUUUUAAAUUAUAAAUCUCUGAAAUUAAUGGGAGCAUCUUUUUGGCUUUUUUAUGGAAUAACAAAACCAGAAGAAGAGGGCGAGUAGGUAGAGUGAACCUGGCAAGGGGAGCCUGACAGACAGGGAUGCUUCUGUCUGGAGAAGGGAGGGCACCUGAGACUCCCCUUCUGCCUCUGGGCAGGUCACUGAGAAGAUGAAGCCAUGCUUUCUGCAACACUGCAAAGCAGCAGGAUGCAAGAGUGUGUGUCUAAGCUGAAACAAGAGGAGUCCACAUUAUAUACAAUGGGAAACCUUUUUCCCUAUAGGGACAAUCCAGUGUAGAGCAGGUUGCUAAGAGAGGCAGUGGGGUCUGUGUUCUUGGAACUUUCAGAACUGGUCUGGUGAAAGCCCCAGGCCACAUGAUCUGGCCUCCUUGCUGCUGCUGUUUUGAGCAGAUGGCUGCACUGGUACUGUCAUCUCUUCCAGGCUGGGUUACAAAAGCCCUUUAGAAAAGAGACCAGGGACACCUCUGUGCCAUGACUAUUUGCUUAAAAGCAUGCAGUCUCUUCUAAUCCUAUCCAUGUAAGGUUCUUUUCUGUUUAUUCACUCUGUUUUUUAAAUCAGUUUAUACUUUGAAAAACCUUGCUAGCCCAUUUUCCACUCAAUGUCUGACUCAUGCUGUGACACACUCAUGUCAUACUUUCGGUAUCUCAAAACUUCCUGAAGAAAGAGUUCUCUCUCAAAAGCUAAGAAGCUCAAGAUGUUCUGUCACACAUGCAUAUGCAUACAUCCCUCUGACUAACAACAUGUUCUGUUUUCUUUUAUCUGAUCAGAAUGAUUGGUCUUCAAAACUCAACUGGGUCCUUGGGUGCUACAGAUCUCAUACUUUAGGACUGGUGCAGUAUGUAUUUGAAUUUGUAGUUAGGUCAAAUAAGUAUUUCUUCUAUGAUUGAAUUUUCACAGUUUGGGGGUUACCUCAGUGAGGAUUCUGCUGUGCAUUUCUGCUUUCUGCUGAUUUCUCAAAUGCACUGUAUCUUGUUAACAGUCUUCUGCUGCUAUCAUGCAAAUGUACUCUGUAAUUGAGUCUAUUUCAUGUUUUUGCUUAGGUUACAAGCAAGCUGCUGUGCACUGGAGCUCUAGCAAUUGCAGCUGAAGGUGAUUUUUUAGACUUUGGGCAACAUUUUUCCUAUUAUCUUAGAUGAAAUAUUCCAACACAUAGCCAGCACUUUGAAGACAUUUUAGAGCACCCAUUUUUCAACUGUAACUUUACAAAGAGCCAAGCACAAUUUACCACCACCAUUCAAGACUUCAAGUAAUCUUUACCUUCUGCCACUACUAAUUCAAUCAAGCAAAACUUGUUUCCCAAGUUCAAUGGAUAAGCCAUUUCUCCAGCUACAACUAAAGAGCAUUGACUCUGGAAAAUGGAAGAAAGGGAGAAAGGAACAUGAAGAAUACAGAAGGCUGGGGGGUAAUACCACAAAGACCUUAGCUUUCGAGAUUAGCUGUAUCUCAUCUUGUCUGCAAAGCAAAAAAUCUUCCCUGAGCAUCUGGACAGAUUAAAGAACAGCAGUGGCAGAUGUGUUGCCAUGAUAGAUGCAAGAUGGCUCAUUUUCUGUUGGCUGAAUCUCCUACAAUUGAUUAUUUGAUUUUCCACUAUUUUGCCUGAGAUUGCUAUCAAAUUAAGCCACCAUCUGUCAUUCUGUUUGCUCCGGCUGAAGUGUGGACAAUGUUGCAGAUCUUCUAGGCAUCAGACAUUUUCCCCGGACUCUGCUAGAACUUAUUUUCUGUAUAAAAUUAACUGUCUAGAACAUUCCACAGAAAAUUCACCUAAUGACUUGGGAAAAAGUUACCUGACCCUAUUGUCUCAAGUGUUUAUCUGCUAUAAGAUUAGUGUGCUUCUUCUUCUUCUGGCCUUCCUAUAAUCUGAGCUAGGCAACAUAUUAAUUGUACAUAUUCCUCCUUGUCUCUUUUUUGUACAUAUAACUUCUAUCUGGUCUGUAUUUAUGUAAUAGGAGCAUUUGACCAAAAAAAUAUCUCUACCUUAAUUGUAGCUUUUUGACCAUCUAAAACUUUUCUCAAAGACUGACAAUGCCAUGCUUGUUCUUUCUCUUUUGUCUGGUCCUUUUUUUCAAAUGAAUCUGCCCAAAACCAUCCUCAUAUGCAACAGAAGAACUGUCUCCUUUUAAUCACUGUCACUGUCACUAAUCCCUGAAUCUUGCCUUAUAUGAUUCAGAAAGAGCUAGAAUAGUUAAAACUCUUUGACCUUGAAGACUUACAAGUGGGAACAUAGAUAAUGAAACUUUAGGGUGAAAAAACCCAACUUUUUCUCAGUUACCUUUUAACACAAAAUAAAGUGUGUGAACAUUUACAGAAAGCUUAACACAACCACACCCCCCCCAAAAAAAAAAAAAAAAAAAAAAACCAAACCAAACAAAACCCAAACCAAAACCUAAACAAAACAAACCCAGAGAAAAUACCACUUAGCAGUCUGAAGGGUUAGGAACAGAGCAGACAGGAUCCAGCAACAUCAGGUAACAUUCAAGUUGAAGGUGCAAAUUUCAGAAUAGCAACCUAAAACAAUUCUUAUUGUCUACACAGGUACUCUUCUCACUGGCUUACAACAUUCAAUCUUCUUCUAUGUGUCAAGCAUAGAAAAAAAUAAGAGCUGAAAAAGGAGAAUCAAACCAAUUCAUAGGAGUCUUCAGUCUGGACUGUACAUGACUACAAGUAUUGGGGCAUGUCAGAGAAUAGUGAGGUUUCCAUCCAGUCUUGUGGAUUUUUUUUUAAUUUCACCAAGAACUUGAAGUGGCUUUAUUCUGACAUUUAAAUCUGUUGGGUUUUGAAAGGGUUAUUUGAUCUGGAUCAACACUGCCAUCUGCCUAACUUUGUAGCAUGAAGGAUUCUUUAAGACCAAUAAAGGUCUUGGCUGCAGCUCCCUUGGUUGUAUGGUUGAGGACAAGAAGGUCACAAUUUUUUCCUACAGCUUGAGAAGCAUAAGGUGUCAGUGGGGUUCCCCACAUGAAACUUCAGAGAACAUUUUUGUUGUUUAUGCAUAAGCAUACACAGAGAUCCUAGCAGAGUUAAAAAUCAUAUCAUAAUAUGCUAUAGUGAUAUUUUGUUCUCAGUAUUUUAUCCCCCUUAAGAGGGGAUAAACCACUGCAAUAAAAGGCAUGAGAAAUGUUGUGAGUUCCUAUAUUUGGACAAUGACUGCUAAAUAACCAUUAGAGAAAUUACUGCCUUCAGAUGAAGGGACUUCAAUAAUUGCUUUUAGAAUCCAUGCAUGGAAAUUUUGAUUUUAGUUCAUCUGAUGAUAUCUUCAUUGAACUCUGAGCUGCAUCUGAGUUUAUGAGGAAAGGCCAGAACCAUGACUAUUUUGUAAGAAAAUGGUGAUGUUGUAGAACUAUUUGUGAGGUGCGGUCUUGAGCAGCAGAGAAGUGAAAGCGACAAAAUAGAGCAUAAAUUAGUAUAAAACAGGAAGAGCCCAAAACUACAAUAUGAAGUUACAUGUCAAAUGUGCAAGUCUGUGCCAUAUAUUGUGUGUGAUAGGCUGUCCCCUUUCACACAGGGGAAGGGAGCAUGUACACCUGAUGCUGUAACUAGUCUUAACUUAACUUCAUCUUCUUGAGCUAUGCUGCUGUUCUGCCAGUGUCAAAGUUCCCAAAAGUUUCUGAGGAAAGUGGAGGAAAAACGAGAAGAGAAGGACAAGAAGAAGAAAGAGGAAAGGAGGGGGAGAGAUACAGAAAUUCUCUAAGAGGUUGAAGCUUAUCCUCAAAUGCUGGUGUGAAGAUAUCCUCAGGUGCUUGCUUAGGAACAGAUCACAAAGCAGCCUCUGCCCAGCCUGGGGUCCCUCCUGGACCUCAAAGCUGGAGUGAGUCACAUCCCUGUGCCUCAGGGCACCGAGCAGGAGGAGCUUUCCUACCUGGCAAGCCCUCAAUACUGGAGCAGAGACAGGCGCCCCAGCAGGACACGGUAGAGCUGUGGCCCAGAGGAGCUCUGACAGCACAGGGACCGUGCAGGGACCGCACAGGAACCACGCCACCCCCACCCAUGCAAACACCCCGGGCUGCAGAACAGCGCGGGCUGCCGCGGCCAGAGGGUGCACAGGGCCCCAGUACUGAGCUCAGAUGGUGGUCAAGCACCACCCAAGGAGCUCAGGUUUGGUUUCCACUCAUCAAAACUCCACGAGUCCAAAUUUGUCCAUCUGCGUGCAUCAGAAAGGAUGCGGCAAACCAGAGCAAACACCUGCAAACAUGUGCGGGGCUCCAGGUCUUGGCACAGGGAAUGCCAGAGCCUGGCACUGCUCAAAAGAGCAAAAAGUGCUGGAGCCUGCUGGCUGCAGAGACACUAGCUGUCUGAGGUGCAACCAGAUGGACAAUCUGCUAAGGCUGGUGGCAGAGCUAAGGGGAGACAGAGAAAGGCCAUGAAGUUUUAAAAGAGAGUCUUGAGAGCGAGACUGGCUGGAAGAGCCAUACUGUAUCAUCCCCUAGACAGGCACAUGCAUCAUCCACAUGUCAAGAAGCAGUGGAUCUCCUACCCUGUCACCACCAAGCUGAAGGAGUGGAACUCUGAGAAAUGUAUUGGUUCUAAACUUUUGGAAGACACGGUCACCAGGAACAAUCUGUUCAGUUCAUAGUAUUUCAUAACAAAUCAGCUUUUAAUGUGGAAUAUUAUUUGAUAAGCUAUUUUUUUUCCUUUGUACCUGUUAUGUGUAAUAUAAAUAAUUUGCACCUGCAAAAUUAUAUGCAUGUAAUGUUUCAUAUUAUUAAAAAAGCAUACAAGUCAGUACUAGGGGGUUUGCCUCACAUACGUUGAAACUGUCUCUGAUAAGACCUCUUUUACAAGUUAAUACACAUAAUCUGGAGAUGGGUCAUUUCUCAAGAUGAUCCAGGAACUUCAGAGAAGUGAUCAUCCCAACAACGACCCAAGACUGGAAUCACUGGAACCAGCAAAAGAUACAUCUCAAUACCAUGUUCCCAUAACUCCAUCAAGGAUGUACAUUGUUCAACUCAGCGCAGAGAAAGGAAACUUUAGGAAUAUGUGGGACUUUGAAGGAAAGAAAAGGCUGAUCACUGAAAUCAUGGCCUCAAGCAAAAUAAAAAUUUCUCGGGCAGAAUGGUUGGUGUGAAACAUAGGGGACCCUUUACUGUAGUGGUCAUACCUGUGUCUCACCCAGCGCCAGUCCCUGGGCUUGGCACUGUCCUUUCUUUUGUGGCUGGGUCAGAUAGAUUUCAAUUGCUAAAUAAAAUUUUUAUUUUUAAUUUCGCUGGAUUAGUUUUUUAUGUAUAACAGUACCCAGCAAAUUCAAGGUAAUUUAUCAAAUAAAGCUAGUAGUAAAUUUUCUACAUGUAAUUUAUCUGAUUUCCCAUUUCCAUUUAAAUGUUGCUUUGAUGUAAAAAAAAAAAUGAAGUUUCUUAGAGAAAGGGCACACAGUGUUUAUGUUUGUGUAGGUAGCUAUUGAACUAGCUUAGCAUAGUUAAGUGGGCUUAUUUAAUCUUGUGAAGACAUUGUAUAGAACCUUGUGUAAUCAAGAACUAUAACAUCUAGUAAGGGAACUAGAGAAGUGAAAGACCUAUAGCAGAUGAAAAUCCACAUCUAAUUAUAGCUUCACAACACAAGUCAACUUUUCAUUAGCAAAACAAAAAAUAAAAGAACAAGAAUAAAAUGCAUAACAACAUGAAAGAAUAGUUCUUUUGUGGUGUUGGUAUGGUAUUUUACCAUCAUUUUCAAUUCAUCCUGAACAUACCAUGUAGAUCAGGCUUUUGACUCAGUCUGGUAUAAUUUGACCAUUAUAGAAUGUUGUACACAAUAACACUGGCACGGUGGGGUGUGUCUUUGCCUUUGCUAAGUAGCAGUGAAACGUUCUUAACACUCCUAAGCAGCCAGAGCACCGCAGGAGAAAAUGGAGCUUGAGUGUAUAUCUAUUUUCGCCAGGAUGUCCCACAUCAGGGAUCUGCUCCUCCCAGCCGCAGCACGACAAGAGCAACAUUCGUAGCCGUGCAGCAGUGGGACUGUGCACAGCUGCUGAGCAGUGUUGGUUCACUGGCUGUGCUGGAAACCACUGCAGGUCAGAGCCCACAAUGAUACCAAAUUGCUUGGAACAAGCAGUUCUAAAAUUGAAUAAACUUUAACCUGCACCUGCACCUCUGAUUAAGCCAGUUCUGAGGAUGUAUGAAUGUAAAAGUAGCUGUAACCCUGAGCGUGGCCAGAGUCCAUGCAGCCCCCUAAGCAGUGAUGCAGGUGAUGAGCCAGCAGCGCUCCCCUCACCUGCCUUUGAGUUUUAACACUGCAGGGCUGACUUGGGCCAGAGAGCAGAAUGCUCUAACAUAUACAGCUUGCAGUGUUUCUAACAGAGUGUGUACUCUGAUGACCUUGUUCCAUCUGGGGAGUUGGAUGUAUGUGGCUUAACUCUGGGGUCUUUAGCACCAAAGCUGUCUCUAACUCCAGGAAAACCUGCUGCUUCCAGAAGGGUGGCUUUCUGGCCUUUUCUAACAUUACAGUACUGCUCCCAUUGCAAUGGGAUUAGCCUGAUUCUGAUUAGGUGCCUAUAGUAAUAUCAGCAGUCAAGAAAGCAGAACACUAUGUAGGGGAGAAGAGGAAAAGAAAGAAAACCUAUCAGAGGUCCGACUGUUAUAAUUUUACUAUUUUUAUCCAUAUAAAGCACUAUAGCUUUCCAGCAAGGUUAUUAAGUGAAAGGAAGAGUUUGGCACUCAGUUUUGUUGCUGGCACUGAGGGCUGGGCCAUGCUGUAGGGUAGUUCAAUGUUGCAUCAUGACUCUCUUUGUUAGUCACUGCCAGAGAGUUCAAGAAAUGAGGGGAAUCAUAUGCCACAUGCUGGGAGGAUGGCAAAUGCCUUCACUCAGCCUUUUCAUGUCCUCAGCUGGAGAUAAUCACAGUUAGGACAUCUACACCUGAAUCUUUUCAAUGAAAUGUAGCAUUAAAGCAUGAAAAUACUGUGCUUCAGACCCAACUUUUCUUUAUGACAAAAAUCCUCAGUGAAUCUGUUCAGACUUAAGUAGAAACAUCCAAUGAACAGUGUUUUAAAGUGUUACAGAAACCUAUGCAAAAUAUAUUUGCAUGCAUCUUCUGUCUUCUUUUUCAUCCACUAUCCUUUCCAACAGAGUGACAACAUUUCACCUGUAUUGUGAAAGCACAACAGCCCUAUGCUGCAAGCCAAAGUGUGCUAGGGCACUGAGGUAAUAAUUUUAGAGAAGCUCUUUUCUUCUGCUUUUGGGUCUAUUGCAGAACAGGUGUGUUAAGGCAGGGAUCAGUGCUUGCGUUUAGGAAGGUGGUGAAGAUUAUAGAGAGGGAUAAUGCAGAGAUGGAUGUCUUGAGAUAAGCUGUGCAGAGAACAAAGUAGCUCACCUCUUUUUAGUUUCUGAAAAAGAAAUACUAAAAGAAGUUUCUUAAUUAUAUGAGUAGGUGUUUGCAUACCCAUAAGUAAGUACAUAAAUAAAAGUCUUGAAACAUUCUUAAAAACCUUUCUCAGGGAAGAAAGACUUAAUGGGAAUUCACUGGAAAUUAAGAGGACAGAAAGUUACCCAGGUUGUUUAAAAUCCUAAAUCUCAUUUAUAACCCCUUUUAAAGUGGGCUGUUUGAAUAUGUGAGUUUUCCUCAUAAUAAAUAGAUGUAUUUUGUUGUGCUGUCUGAUUAUCUCAUGGGAAAGAUAGCAGAAUCUUAAAAGCAAUCAUAAUCUGGUUAUCAGUUGCAAACUCUAUUGAUUUCUUUUUUAAAUGAAAAUGUAACUGGGAAGGUACAAUAUUUGCUUUUAAAAGAUGACAAUUUUACUGUCUUGUGUGGGCUGAGAAUAAAAAAGGCAGCUGAUGGAAAGUCUGCAGAUCUGAUUGAAGAAUCAAACAGAAAAUUAUUCCUACAUGAGCUGAAGCAUAGACAAACAGCCCAGUUUGCUGUGCUUAUGAUGGCUGUUAGUUGAUCUGGGAUGAGAGAGGGAGCAGGGAUUAAUAAUGUUUUAUUGCUACCUAGGGAAAUUUUAAAUGGAGCCAUUGUGAUCCUUUACUGGUUAAAGCUUCAUCAGGGAAUGAGAAAUUACUCUCUUAGACAGUGAGUAAAGAAGCAAGAGCUUGGAGAUGGGUUUUGCGUAUCAGCUGGGAAUUGGUACCUCUGGGCCUAAUGUGUGUUUAUGGUGCAGGCACAGAAGACCAUUUCAUUAGGCACUUUUUCAAGUCAAAUAUACUGGAGAAAAAUGUUCAGGAAAGAAUUUGUACGUCAUUGAGAGAAAUUUGCAAAUCUGCAGCACAGUUCAAUUGAAGUUAAAUAAAAGAAAAAAACAAACCAAACCAAUCCCAAACCUCCCCUCCCCCUCUCCAAACUGCCAUAUACAUAUUUAACUGCUGCUACAAGAGCUGGAAAAUCAGCUCAGAAAUGUCAAGCACAGACAUUUCACUGAUGCUUUUUCAUGUCUACGACAAUGGGAAAAGAAAGAAAAGCAGAAAGUGCAGAUUUUGAGACAUAAAGAGUCCAAUGUUGAGCUGCCUUGAAGGGUUCAGAAGCACAGCCUGUGUACUGUUUCUCUCCUGAGUUGUACUGACUCACUCGGUGAGAGGGGGUGCUUGUCUGCCAUCACCACAUCUGACCUUUUUGGUCCAACAAAGAGAGGGGUCAUAUGACAGUGCUCUUUUCUUGACCUCUCCCCUCAUGACAAACUAUAGCUUUGUGGAUUUACAGGGAGAGGAGGUGUCUGGUGGACCUUAAGUCUGCUUCAGGAGUUUUAAGGAGAGGAGAGGGAUGGAUGUGCAGAACACCGAUCUGGAGUUGCUGGCUGGUUCUUGGGUCCCCUGAUGCUGCUGUCCAGACUUGUGGGCCACAAUUUCUUAACAGACCUCAUGUCUGUGUCUGGGUUGCUUUAAACUCAUCUUCCUCCCAGGCUUCUCAGAUUCAGUCAUGACUCUUUUGCACCAACUUGCUCCUAGAAUUGAAGCGAUAUUGCAGCAUUCUGAUGGAAAAGACUACCUCCAAGUCUAAGAGAACUGCAACAUGCAGACUUGCUGACAACCUGUUUAAUCUCUAAAUUUAAUUAGUUGUACAAUGUUGUAUUGUGUUAAUCUAUUUUUACCUGUGUUCUAAUGGUUUAUUCCUGUACACCCUAGUUUUCCCAAUAGUUCUGCCCUAAAACCACCCCUUUCCUUAUAUGUCAUUCCUCUUCUCCUCCUUCUAUGCCAAUCACCCUCUUCCUGCCUAUGCACCCCUGGAAAAUGCUGAUUCAUUCCCCUGUCCCCACCCUGGUACCUUGUGCAUCACUUGACUCCCCAUCCCACUCCUCCAGAACCCUCUACCCAGUGUGUCAAGUGACUGGGCAAGGACCAGGGGUCGCUCCCCUGGUUCCCACUUGUUGGCCUUUGCAUCCGUCUGGUCCCCCAACUUCCACUCCCCCAAAACCCCUCAUUGGUUGAAGGGUGAUCCCUUCCCAUUACGACCCGCAUUUAUAAACUGCUGCACAGCGCCCUUCAGGGCUCUCGCCUGUUGGCUCUCCUAAGGGUCAGGACUCUUAGGAGCUCUUAAUAAACCCAGAGACUUUGCCCCAGAAAAGAGUCAGCCAUUUCUUCUGCGAUUGCCCUCCGUCCCUCCCAUUGGAGCCAACCGUGUCAGUGCUCAACCCUGGCCGCUCCCCAAACUUCCUGGAGGCACAGGGGAGUGUCCCCUGCCAUCAGCCAUGUCAUCGCUGGUCGGGCAGACCAAAGUGGACAUUGGGUGGACAUGGCGACACUACAAGGACUAGUAUAAGGCAGUGUAGAAAUCAGUCUUUUAAUAUCCCAUAGUCAGACUAUGCAGCACUAAACAUAGACUGAAAAGCCUCACUAGGACACUGAAGAAAUUGGUAUUUAUGAACAAAUGAAAAGUUAAAAGAUUAAGAAAAAACUUAGCUCUAACAAUUGCAGGGUGCUUAUUUUAAGUAAAAUAAUGAACAAGUACAGAGAUAUGCCAUUUAAAAUGAGCUUCCUAGAAGCAAACAAGUGUACAUGAGACAUAAUACCUAAUGAAAAGGGUAGCCUGCUGAUGAAUAACAAAAAAAUUGACAGUUCUAAGUCAUCCUUUAAAUACUCCUGCAGGAGGGAUUAUCAAAGCAAAAAAAAAAACUCCCAACCAUCCAAACCAAAAAUAAGGUGUCUGGAAGCACUUUUUUCAUUCUUUUAAGUAUAAGAAACUGCAUCCAGGGAAAGCAUAAAACAGAGUUUUAUUUCCAUUUUGAUACUUUCACACUUCAUAUUAAAAGUAUAUAAAAUUUUGUACAACUACUUAUACAAUUAAUAAGCAGAUAAGUAUUAAAACAUUUGAAAUGGGUUUGUAUUUUCCACAGGUCUGGUUCUCCUUUCAAAGAGGUUUUAUACCAAAAAACCUCAUUCAUAUCCAUGUAUUUAUACAUUCAAGAGGGACAUUCAUAAUUUUCACUUUUCUUGAAGGACCUAAAGACACUUCGGGGACUAUAUGGGAGACCCAGGUAGGUUUUCCUUGUAUUUGAGAGGGAAUCAGCUUCUAAUUCUUUCACCUUGUGCCAUUUUACAAUGGGAAGCAGCCUGCCUCACCACAGAGAGUAGGAGACAGAUACAUGCUAUAAAAUGGAUUUGGAAAUUGGAAUUUCCAUCUCAAAUGACAGUAAAAGUUAUUGAAAGUUUUUGACAGCACCAGACAUGGAGGUUUUGGUGAUGCUAUUCAUAUGAUUAAAAUUUUUUGUAGCUCAUAAAAGAAAUUUGACUCAUAUUUAUUUUUUUUAGAGAUAGGGCCAGGUAACAUUUCUUUAAGCUCCUAGGGAUUGCUUUUUGAUGUAAAAUCUUGUGUUUGAUUGCAUUGGGUAGAAAAAAAGGGAUGGGAGAACAAGCCUGAUUUUGGUAGUGCAUAAUGUCUCAAAUAUAUAGUAUAUUUUCUUUUUAAAUAUUUAAACUUGCAGUGACACCUGAUCUACAGAAAUAGUGCCAAUGGGAGUGUGCAUGUGCAGACAACUAGCAAAUCCUUAAGGCUUUUUUUUUGUCCAAUAUUCAGCAUAAAUCCAGGCUUAUACAAUCUACAAACUUCAGGCCAAAAUGUUACUAGGAAAAAAAAAAAAAAUCAACAUUAUGCAUUACAGCCUUAUGCUCUUUUUAAAUUAAGGAACAGCUGCCAGAUGAUGAGAAUUUUGGUAGAGUAUCAUAAAAAUGUUUCAGCAAGAGCUCUUCUAGAGAAUGUUUACAGAAACAUGACAUUUAAAUUCAGUACAAAUAUAUGAAGUAAAGGGGGAUGGUUUAAAAAGUAGGAAGUAGGAAAUGCUCUAAAUGUUCUGCUAUAAGACUGCUGUUCCUUUUCCUAAAGGACGAGGCCCAAAGACAAGCAAAAAACAAAACAAAACAAAACAAAACAAAACAAAACAAAAAAAGAAAUUAGAGAGAGAGAAAAAGGAAAAGGAAAAAAGGAAACCAUUUAGGACAAACAUAUUAAAAAAAACCAAGCAAUUUUCACAAAUACAAGGAGGCGAGGUGGCUACUGCCCAAUGUUCUGAAAUUAGGCAGGUUGGCUUCAGAGGACAACUGCUUAGGUAAAAGCCCAGGAAUUGGAAACUUGAAAGUUUGAAGCAUGAUGAUAAAUUGAUUUCUGCCUGGGAAGGGCAGAAACUGCUGUUAACUGGUUAUCAGGCUGGGCUGAACCCUGAUGAGUACUGCCAGAAGUAAUACAAACCGGGCCCCAGCAACCCAGUUCUUAAGAGAUCUUCAUGCCAUUUUGAAUCUGGUCCCUAAAAAGCCUUUCCCUGAUGUGGUUCAUGUUUAUUUUACUAAGUUCUAUUAGGUAGAUUGUUAAAGUGGUAUGUUCUGUUAUUCCCCAUGUUCUCCCUAAGUUGUACCUUCCUAUCCAGCUGUCCCUCAAAGAAUCUCUUCCCUUCCUUUCAGACUCUUCCCUGCUGGUCAGGGCAACCCAGCUUCUUUGAUGUGUCUGUCAAACUAAACCCUACCCAUUGUUCUAGAAAUUUCCCCAUUCCUCACCUCCGGGACCAAUCCCAGAUCGAACCAUCUUUCCUCCCCUUACCCUGAUUUGUGGCAUCCCUGAAAACACACCCUAAGAGUUGUUCAUUUAUUGUCUCAUUGUGUCCACCACCUGUUUUGUGAUGUUUUAAAAAACCUUGCAAAGUUGCACUCAAGGCUCUACUAGCCUGUGUUCCCUUCGGCUCUCAUCUCCUGUGUACUCACCCAAUAAACCUGCUGAAUUUCGCAAUGCAA